AGAGGCCUGGGUGUGGGCAGAGUACACAGGAGAAAAGUCAGGAAGCACCAACAGUGACCUGCAUUUCUGCCUUUCUUCAGCUGCUCUGCGUUCAUGCAGCUAGGCAACCUCAGAAGAAGAGCAAGUUUCCAAGAGAAGUGGAAAUCGAGGUGACUUUGAAGCAUCUGAGGUGAGGUAAAUGGACUGAGGCAGGUAUGGGUCUGGAGCUCAGAGGGCAGACCUACUCUGGAGUAACAAAUGCAAUGACUCACACGCAAAGUAGUACAUAUGAAUGCCUGAGACUUCACAGUCUUUACAGAGGGGAUACUAACUGUGAAAACAAACCAUGAAAGUCCUGGUAUUAAUAUUCAGGCAAUAAAAGUAAAGUUCAGGGGAAGUGUCUGCAUCAAGGAGAAGUUUCCUGAAGAAUGCGGCAUCCUAUCUUUAAUAAAAACCCCGAGGUUUUACUGUAAUAAAACACCCAAGGCUGCUACUGUUUGAAGAGGAGGACAGAACAUGUGUAUCUCCUAACCAGUGGUCGGCAGGCUAAAGAAUAUGGCUAUUGUAUAUGGUGAGGACCUUCUGGCUGUGUGUUAACUCAGUGAAGGGCACUGCAGUGUGACGUGGAAGAAGGUUGCUAGUUUAGGUCUCUUCUUUCUAGAGAGUCACUAAUGCCCUCUUUUUCCAGACACCAUUAACAUAUGGAUUUAUGGAUUAAAUUUCCUCAUUGAACUCUGGAGGAUACAUUCAAACCACAGACAAGGGUAUCGUGAAACUUAAGUGGGGUGUGUGUGUCAUAAAGGGACAGUCCUCAGGAACCAAGAAUUAUGACGUCUGAAAAAUAAGUCAAAAUGAAAAUAGUUUUUAUUAAAGCAGAGAGGUUGUUUUUUUUUUUUUUGUUGUUGUUGUUAUUUUUUGUUUUUUUUUAACCAGUCUAUCCUACAACUUGCUAUUUCCUUCAAAUCUUCCAUAUGGAUUUUCUGUUUUAAUUUCCACAGUGUUUUGAAGGAUGAUUUGUAUUGGGUUUUAAAGUCAUCUACAUUUAAUUGACAUUAAAUUUCUGAAAGUCAAAGUAUAAUAGAUACUUUGAAUUUUUUGUAUAAUUAAGCAAUCUCUUUUUUCUGCUUUAUUUAUUUUCUUUGUUUUUUAAAAAGAGUUUAAUCACUUAUAAUUAUAUGUAUGCGGGUAUUUUUUCACUUGUGAGCACAGGUGUCUGCAGGGCCAGAGGUGGUAGAUACCUUGAAUCUACAGUUACAAGCAGUUAUAAGUCACCUGACAUAGAUGCUAGAAUAGAACUCAGGUCUUCUUGAAGAGCAGGAAGCUCUCUUAACCAUUGAGCCACCUGUUUUCAAAACAGGAUUAUGUAUGAUUUAAUACCCUGCACACUUUCUAUUUUAAUAAUGUAUAUGAAUACAUUUUACAUUUUAGGUGCUUGAAAAAUCCAUUUGCAAGUUGGUAUCCCCUGAGGGUGUGUUUUUAUUACUAUGCACUUUCCCAUGCUAUUUAUUAUGUCCUCUACCUAUCCAGCAUAAAAGUUUACUCAUUUCUUAGGGUAUUGACUUGACUUAUUUAAAUUUUGAAAAAAAUAUCUAAUUUUGGGAAUGUAACAUUAUUUAAGAAUAAAAUCCAUUAUU
rnacentral:lncRNA from 1 species